GUGCUCUCUUUGGCAGCAUGUAUACUAAAACUGGAAAAAUACAGAGAAGAUUGGCAUGGUCCUUGUGCAAGGAUGACAUGCAAAUUCUUGAAACAUUCCAUAUUUUU
rnacentral:snRNA from 1 species